rnacentral:piRNA from 1 species
AUAUAUGUAAGAUCUACAUUGGUUUGGUCC